GCAGGAACCCGGUUUCUCGCCAGCGAACUGCUCUCAGAGGCUACCGAGCGUUCCCGCCUCGCCGCAGGAACUCUUCUAGCUCGCCCUCGGGCUCUGGGGACCGCUCCACAGCGGGGCCUCCCGGAAUUCCCUGCCGGUCUCCGCGGGCACACUUGGCUGGCUGCUGCGACCAAAACUACCUUCGCGUGGCAGGGUCCUCCCUCCUCCUCACAGACACCCCGACAUCACCCUCAAAACUGGAAGGGACAACCCCGAGUGAUCUAGGUAAAUCUACUCCGUACCCCCCUCCCACAUACACACGCCUGACAGAUGGGGAAACUGAGGCUCAAAGAGCCGAGCGCGGAAAGAGCUUCUGGACUUCACAGGCCAAUCCGGUAACCUUAUGCCUGACAAACAAAACCUUAUUGUCAUUGGAGGAGGAUGGAGGGCGGGAGUGACUAAAUAGCUCUAACUUCUGCUUGCCACCUGCCAGGACUCCUUUCCCUGGGCUUAGUAAGAGGAGAGUCUAAACGCGCUAAUGCCCGGGAAGGAGCAGGCCUCGCGUUCUGGCAGGCUCCUCUAUGGGAUCCCGGUUCCGAAGAACAGUAGCAAAUAAACCUCUCCUAGGUUAUGCACUGUCUUGUGAACAACAGAUGUGCCAGUCUUCCACCCCAGCACCCAGCACAUAGUAGAGCUUAAUUUAUGGAUUUGAGGCUGGCCACGGUGGCGGUGGCUCACACCUGUAAUCCCAGCACUUUGAGAGGCUGAGGCGGGCAGAUCGCUUGAGCCCAGGAGUUGGAGACCAGCCUGGCCAACGUGGCAAAACCCCGUCCUUACUAAAAAUACAAAAAUCAGCCGGGCAUGGUGGUACACGCCUGUAGUCCCAGCUACUUGGGAAGCUGAGGCGGGAGACUCCCUUGAGCCUGGGAGGUCGAGGUUGCAGUGAGGUGCAUUUUCACCAUUGCACUCCGGCCUGGGUGACAAAACAAGACUGUCUCAAAAUAUAUACAUACAUAUAUGCAUUUGGCCCUUUAUAUCCACAGGCUUCAGAACCCGCAGAUACCCAGGCUGACUGUGAGGGACUUGAGCAUCCUCAGAUUUUGGUAUCCAUGGGGAUGCUGAAACCAAUACCCUGCCAAUACUAAGGGAGGACUGUAUUUGUAGGAUGAAUGGCUGCAUCAACUGCAAAAAUUUAAAUUUAAAUUUAAAUUUAAAAUGCAAAUAUGUCAAUUCAGAAGUGAGUGAAGGAGUUAGAAGAAGAAGUUCACUGACAGGAAGGGCCCUGAAUUAUGGGCUGGAUUUUGUCCUCUACCUUCUCUCCAGGCGAUGGUGGAUACCUGAAAGCCACCCAUGGAAAAGGUGAAGAAAGUGCCCCCUGGUUCUCAGAAGAGCCACUGCUGCUGUUGUGAGCAGAUAUCGGAUGGUGUCUCUGGCUGCAUCAUUCGUCAACCACACAUAUUCAUAUGAGUGUUACCCUCCAGCACUGUGCCUUCCAAAAGCCCCUGGCUGAGGAAGCACUGCUUCUGAGCCACAGAGACAGCUGAUUUAUGGACCAUUUUAUCACCGCUUCUAAACUGUGGCUCUAAACCUAACACAGAGGGUAAUGGUAGUGCUGUAUCCAUUCAUUCACCCAAUAAAUAUUUGCUGAGCACCAUCUGCAUAUCAGGGAAUGUACUAGAUGUAUACAGAGAUGAAAAAGCCAUAGUCCCUGUCGCACACAGCCCAGCAGACAGACACAGAAACAAAAAUAUGAUGUCAUGAGUUAGACGCAAGGAGAGAGAUCUGACAAGUGUACUGUUGGAACAGAUGAGGGGCACUGAACCCCGUGGGAAAGGAGGCUCCAGGCUUAACUUUUUGGAGGAGGUGAAACUUAAGUGAACGUUAAAGAAUGAGAGUCAGCCAGAUAAAGAGUGUGGGAAGUUACUCCAGAAGGAAGGACCAGCACAAGCUAAUGCACAAGGACAGGAAACUGCAUGGUAUACAAAGGAAUGUCUAGCAUCUCAACGUGGCUGGACUAGAAAUCCAAGGCCGGGAGGGGCAAGAGACGGGGCUAGAGAGGUGCAAAGCAGCCAGACCAUGAAGGCCUCAUGUGCCAGGUGGAGUGUGGAUCUAAGGGGAGCAAGGCUGGCUGGAAGCUUUGACACCAGUUGCAAAGCUGUUGCAAUAAUCCAGGUCGAAAUGGAAAAGUGUGGAUAGACCAGAAAUACUUAGGGGAUAAAACUGAAAGACCUAGGAGUCUGGAGAAAAGAUAAGUGUUUUUGUUGAGAGAUCCCAUGCACUUUACCUAUAUUAAGUUCCUCCUAUGAGGUGUUUCUCUGUCUUACAGAGAAAACAAACUGAGGCUCAGAGAGGUAGUAACUAGUCCAAAAUGGCACCAGUACAUGUGACUCCCAGACCUGUGCCUUUAACCCCAGUGGUUCUCAACUCUAGGAUAUUUUAACAGCUCCCCCUCACAAGGGAUAUUUGUUGAUGUCUGGAGUCAUUUUGGGUUAUCACAGCUGGUGGGUUCCUACUGGCAUCCAGUGGAUGCAGGUUGGGAAUGCUGCUAAACGUUCUACAAUGGAUAGGACAGCAUCCCCACAACAAAGAAUUAUCCAGGCCAGGCAUGAUGGCUCAUGCCUGUAAUCCCAACACUUUGGGAAGCUGAGGCAGGUGGAUCGCUUGAGGUCAGGGGUUCGAGACCAGCCUGGGCAAGGUGGCGAAAACCCGUCUUUACCAAAAAUACAAAAAUUAGCUGGCCAUGGUGGUGUGAAUCUGUAUUCUCAGCUACUUGGGGGGCUGAGGCAGGAGGAUUGCUUGAGCCCAGGAGGUCAGGGCUGCAGUGAGCCAUGAUUGCACCAUUGCAUUCCAGCCUGGGUGACAGAGCAACACUCUGUCCAGAAAAAAAAAAAAGAAAGAAAGAAAGAAUUAACCAGCCAAAUAUGAAAGAAAGAAAGAAUUAACCAGCCCAAAAUAUCAAGAGUGCUGAGGUUGAGCAAUCCUGCUUUAAUCAUGAGUUUAUAGUUUAGAUGAUCUGGGGAAUGGUGGCACUAUGACCAAUUAAGAUAGAACAGAAAAGGAAAAUAUUUAGGAACAGAAUCAUGGAUUGAGUUUGAACACAUUGAAUUUGGAGUGCUCUUAGAAUGUCCAGAUUCCAUAGACCAGCAGGCAGUUUGACUGCAUAGCCCUGACCUCAGGCAAAACAGAGUUGAGAGUCAUCUGCAUAUGGAUGAUAUUAACACCAGGAGACCACCCAUGAAGAAUGCCCAGGUGGACAUGAGAAGAGGGCAGAACCCUGGAGAACAACACUUAGAAAGGGACAGCAAAGAACAAGAACCCCUGAAGGAGACAAAGAAAAUGGUCAUCCAGGAACGAGGAGGGCCUGGAGUAUAUGACGUUGAGGAGGUCAAAGGAGUAAGGUUUCAAAGUAAGAGGAAUUGGCAAUAUCAGAUAUAUUCAAAAAGUCUGGAAAAUAAGGCCUAAACAGUGUUCUUGGAUAUGACAGUUGAAAAUUCACUGGUGACCUUGGCCAAUGGAAUUUUGGCAGAGUGGCAAAAGCUGUAAGUUUAAAGAGACAUUAGGAGUGAAUAAAUGGAGACUGAAUAUAGAGGGGAAAAAGAAGUAGCUAAAGGGGCAAUAGCUAGACGCAAGUACUGAGAUCAAAGGAAGAUUUCUUUUAAAACUGGAAA
rnacentral:lncRNA from 10 species